GGCCUGUUGGUUAUUUUUUCUUUUGUUAUUGUUUUUUUUCUCUUUUCAUAUGUUUAUCAUUAUGAGAUUAUGCAAGCAAAUAGAAGGGAUAAAUGCAUCAAUGAAACUUCUUAUAUUUCCUCCAAUGUUUAUUUAUACCAAUGUUAUAUUCCAAUUAAUCAAUUGUAAAUGUGAUUUAUAUUAACUGGCAUGCUUAAUAAUCUCAAAGUAGAAAAGGAUGUUCAGAUAUCAAAAGAAAUGUAAAGUGUUUAUUUACUCAUUUAUUUAUUUUUGUUGUUAAAAAUAUUUUAUCUAUUAACUAAUAACAAUGAUAGGCUGUGUUUCAAACAGUGAUGAUAUGUUGGUAGUGAAUUAUUAUAUAGGAAAGAUAUAUAUUGCUUUGAGAAUCAGAAACAAAACUUUUUUUUCUCAGUAAUACAUUAAACCAACUUAUUUUUGCGGAUACUUUAUUUUCGCGUUUUACCCUUUCUUCACUUCGCGGCUAUUUAAUUAUGCGAUUUUCUAAAUUACUUGAUAUAGUUUAGUAAGAAAGUAUCAAAGCUUUACAUAUUCACGACGAUUUAUAUUCGCCUUUUUUUUCUACUCGCAAAGUCGCAAAAAUAAAUCGCUAGCGAAGAUAAGUUGGUUUACAGUAAACUUGUCUAUUACAUAAUGAGUAUUAUAGCCUCUUCAACUCCUUAGUCAAAGUUGACCCAAUAUGACUUAUGCUAUUACUUGUAGGUCUCUUUUGGUUAUAUAGCUCCUAACAUUUGGAUGCAUCAGAAUUUGUAAAGUGUUAUUAUCUUUUACUAACAAUUGGAUGAUAUAAAUGCUGGUAGACGGUUAUACCAAAGAAGGUAUUCAGUGUUUUGUACUGAAAUGAUUUACAACAUUCUAUUCUAAUUUUCUUUGGUAAUAUAAGAUGUUAUAAGGAAACUAAGGUUAAAACUCCCAAAGACAAAUUUGACUACAGAGGAAUUAGCUACUUUUAGGUCGCUAUUUGUCAAAUAGAUCACCAUGUUUUUACCUAUUUACACAUUCCAUGCUUUCAAAUGCUAAGCUUCAAACAUUCUGUAAAGCCAGCAAAGCUCUUUGAAUACACACAAAUUUAUAAAAAGUAAUUUUCAAUCAGUUGAAAAAUAUAAAUAAAAUUGUCACUGAAAAUAUAACAGAUUUGACAGCCAUGACAAUCAGUUUAGAAUAGGUAUGUUUCACUGCAACCUGUAUAUUUUAUAGUUUCUUGGACCAAACCAAUGUAUAGAAAGAAUGUGACAUUUAAUGUUGUUCUACUUAGUGUAAUGGCAUAACUUGAAAUACAAUAGCUGAUAGAUUUACAAUUAAUUCUGUAAUUUUAAUUAUAAAUACAAAAUGUUACCCACUGCCAUUGUAUUCCCCUGGUAGCAUACUUGUAUCUUGUACAGGAGGUUAAAAUGCCUGUUGGGUCAAACAGAAUUUUAUAUUGGUAUUUGCUGCUUCUUUGCCAAGCACAUAUGAAUUAGGAGAGCAAUAACUAUUCAACUUUUGGUAUUUAAGAUCCCAUGUUGCAGAGUGAUGGCUUAUAAAUCAUACUCAGCACAUCAGUUUAGUACAAGGCAGGGUAUGUUGAAUGACAUUGAUAUGUUUUUAUCCUUAAUAUUCAUAUAAUAUUUUCCACUGGUUGCUUAGGAGCUCUAAUAAAUCAAAUUUAAAAGAAAGUAGCCCUAUUCUUUUUUAGAAGUAGUUAUAGUAUUCAUUAUGACUUUUUUGGAAGAUAAUUCUUAUAUUGAUACUGGUAAACUAAAAGGACAGCUGCAGUCUCAUUUAUUUAUAAAUGUGAAUCAUUCAUAGACAUGUAUCAUUGGUGGGAGACAUGAUCGUACAUCUGUAGUAUUUCAUUUAGUCUUCAUUAUGCUAAAAUCAUUUAUGCUUUAUUUAAAUAAUUUGCAAUAAUUUUAUAUUACAAGUUAAAUUUUAUAUUUGACCAGUUUUACAUUAAUAAAACCAUGCAUGUUGCAACCAAAAUCAUUUAACCAGUUAGGUAUUGAAAGCAUUAUUUCAUAGGUGAUAUACCUGGUACCUUGAUUCAAGUGAAUUCUACAACCUAAAGGGCACGUUUCAACUGCUGUCCUCUAUUCAAUGAGACUCCAUACAAGAAUUUUGGUUUUUUAGCAUGUAUGGUUAAAGAUAUAAUGUAUUAUAUUUUAGUCCAAUCAAAUGUCCAAUUUUUCUAAAUUUGGGUUAUUUUAGGCUUACUUUACUUCAACAUUUUAAUUGAGGUUUGUAGCUGUAUUCUUAAAAUUAUUUUAAAAAAUAUUCUGUUUUGAUGAUUAAGCAGUUAAUCUAGAAAUGGAUUGUCGCAACAAUAAAAAUGACACAAAAAAUAAUGAAUUUUAGAUGCACUUAUUACUGAAUAAGAUAUUUUGUUUAAAAAAUUACUGACCAAACCUGAAAAUGUCUUAUAAAUUAAACAAUGAUACAAAUUCGUGGUUGCCAUCACUGACAAAAUACAGGCAAAUGACUAGUAAACUAGUUUCCCUAAUAAGAAUUUGUACCAGUUUUAGAAAUGAAAAUUUGCUCAGAAUGAUGAUCUAAUGUAAAGAGUCACAGAUCACUGUUGAAUUUACAAAUUUUGAAUAAAAAUAGUUAUGCCAAGACUAUUUUCCGCACAAAAUACACUUUAAUGCCCUUUACUCCCAGGAUUGAAUAAUUUAAUGUAUGUCACUUUCUCAGGUGUUGAAAAAAUAUCAGGGAUGUUUAAGAAUCAAAUUAAGUUUUCUUUUUAUAUAUUUUUUGUUUGUGCUAAAUGAAUGCAUUUUUUCCAUCUCUUUGGCAAUUUAUAUUCAUCAUUAAAUCCCUUUUCAAGAAAUGCAUCUUCCUUGUUGUUAAUACGCCGUUGGAUGACAGGCUAACACAUCUAGACAAAGCCAGAUAAAAAGUCAAUUCAGAGAUAACAGUUUUUAUGAUGUCUGAUAAAUAUCCCUGGAAAUCAGAUAUAUGCAUUCUUAACUUGAGGUGGGGUGGAUGGCAUGAAUUGUUUGAUUUAAAACUGAACAUUUAAAACAUGUAUUAGUAGUCUGCAACCUUGUUAUCUUGCUUCAGUGACUUGAUAAAGUUUAUUCAUAUUCUUAUGACUAGUUUAUCUGUACAGUUUCUUUAAGUGUAAAUUCAACUAUAUUUGGUCUAUAUUUGAUGUGUAGGGUCUCCUUCUUUUCUCUAUUUAAUCAUUUAUAUGUUAAUUUAUGAUUUGACAUGGAUCACCUAGCCUGACAUUAUUUAUAUGAUACAUUGAGUAUGGUGAUGUGUAUAGCUUUAAUGUAUUUAUUAAAUGAAAGUUUGAAUAUCUGUAGUAUGUUCUAUAAUUGCGAUGAUGCUUGUAGUUCAACCAAUUUUAACCAUGCAGGUGAGAUGUAUGUUUCUAUGUGUGUUAUGUUGUUUGUGAUCCCUGUUUAAAGUGAAAAUUUAAAUCUUAAGUUGUAAUAUGAAUUUAAGGUACCUGCUGUUUUGUUUUGUUUUUCAUGAAUAUAAGUAUUGAGCUGAGACAUAAUUGUGUAUGAAUUGAUACAUGAAACUAUGGAUCACCUGACCUUUUACAUUGUAUAAAGUUAUGACAAAUACUAUUUUUUUUAUAAAAUAAUAGCUAUUCAACGAUAUGUUCUCUAUUUUAAAAAUAAAUAAAUAUUUAUUGGAGAAAAUUUAUUAAGAAAAGAGAGGCUUCCUAUAACCUGAAAAUGCAUGAAAGGUGUGUGGCAAAUAGAUACAAGAUAUACAUUCAGUUUUAAAAAAAACCUAAACAUUGAUUUUUUGUAAAGCAAAACAUAAUUUUCUAUUGCCGAAGGUCCUUGACUUCUUCAGAAAAAAAUUCUUGAAAAAGUAUUUCUCAUUUCCUUUUUUCUAGCUUUUCAAAUCUCUUUUUCAAAUGUGUAACUUAUUUAACAUUCGUUUUAUUGAUCUGAUAAAAAAGCCAAUGAUAGUGAUCCGUCAUCACCUGAUAUGUAUCAGAAUUGCACUCCUACAAAAUAUUAAUUAUCCUGAUACAAAUGGCAGCACAACUGACCUGCAAGAUCAUAAUUGUGAUAUCAAUUUUGUAACAAGGGAGACUGUUAUACCUAGUAAUCCUUUGGCAGUUCCUUUGGUUCAAAUUAUUUUGGCACCCUUUGAGUUUCUUUUUUUGUGUGUCUUCAAUAUGUAUUGAUUUUUUAAGCAUAACUUGAAUAUUUACACUUGUUCAUUUCUAUUAUUUUUUGUUAUAAAUUUGUGGUUCAUAUAACAUGUAUUCCAUCAAAUAUUUUGUUUGUCAUGGCAAAGAUAAAACCAAAAUAUAUAAAUUUGAAAAUAAAUGUGUUUUUGAUCUUUUAUUAUUUAUUUAG
rnacentral:lncRNA from 1 species